CUCUCCGACUAAUUAGCAAUAAAUGCAAAUACAUUCCUUCAUGGCUAUGAUGAACAAACAGGGACGUUUUAGAUAAGAAACACAAAAGAGUAUGAAUGCAGCACUUCGGCACAGUGGACGGUUUUUCUACGCUAAUAUUAUUGUUAGCUAUCCCCUAGCAUAAAUAAUGCUAACGGUCCAUUGGCUAAGUUAAGUAGUUUAAAAUAAACACAAAAUUAAUUAACAUUGGUGUAAACUUGUGCCUAAACAUUUUCCUGUGAGGAUGAAAUCUGUUUUUAGUCAUAGAGUUUGUAUAAAUACCCAAAUAAAAUCAAGUCUUGUAAAGAUACACUUAUCUAAUAGCUAAUAACCAGCUCUAGUAACUAAGCUAGCGCUGUUAUCCUGUACUGACCUUUGACCUGCUCCUCGAGACCUUUGAGGAUGCGCCAUAUCCAUAAUGUUGCUGCAAAACAAACACGGAGUCACUGGACGUUAGCAAUCUACUGUCUGCUGAAUUAGCAUCAGCGCUAAUCUGGUGCCAUCUUCUCCACAGCCCCUAGAAGGUUCCGAGGGAGAACAACAGAAACUACUAAUUGCAUCAAACUAUAUGAAAUAUUGAAACAACCUGAGCAGUGUAACAAACUACAAAGCAUCCAAAGCCAAGCUUCUGAUCCGUCACCUUGUAACUGAAUCCUACUCAACAGAGCUCAGCUGACGCUCCUCGCGCUGAGCCGCCUCAGGCAGAGCGGCGCUGCCUGCUCGUGGUUCUGUGAAAGCGGGUCAGACAAGCUGCGUGGAGUCACGUCGGCCCAGAGGCAACGCCAGGUCUGCCCGGCCUGCACCCCCACCUCUCCAGUGACCUUUCAGGCAACCCAGUCCCACCAGACAUUACCUCUCUAUUAACAGGCUCCUAAAGGAUCAAAGACCUAAACCCAAAACACAGACACACAACAAGUGUACGAUGCACACAAAAGGAAGAAAGUCCUCAGGCACAGGAGAUGGACACGAUAAGGAAGAAGAGGAUAAGAGGAUGAGAAGGGUGCCUGGAGCCAUAAUGAGAUAUGAUCCCUCGUCUGCAGGAAUCCAGCGGGAUGAAUAGAAGCAGGUGUACCGUCUGGGGAUUCUAUGGCCGCCGCAGCGAUUGGAUUGCACGUUACGGAGAAAUCGAAUGGAACCGGGCUCUUGGCCCGCUGCUAAGGUGAACGCUGUGGCUUCAGAACCAACCCAGAGCGUGGCUUCGCACCAAAGCGUCCGCUGCGCUGCUGAGUAUCAUCAAAUUCCCAGAGACACUUUUCUCAACGCUUCAGUUGCCGAGUGAGGUUGAAAGUAUGACGCCGGGUUGCUUAAGGCCGGCGCUGGAAAAGCAGAGGGAAAGUGCAAAAAGCUUCUUGGAUUGUAUAAAUCAAUCGUGCAUGAAAGAAGGCAGUGCAGAAACACGCGGAGCCGCUGUGGGUUCGUUCACCCCACGGUACCGGUGUCCAGCUCCGGGCCUCGCUGGGAGUGAUAGCGUUGUUACCAAGCCAAGCUUUUAUGGACUUUGGCCCUCAGUCUUGAUGCGAGGCUCCCUUUACGGCAGAACCAUUGUUUUUUCCCUAAUGAAGUUUGGACGGUUUCGAAGCUAAUGUAAAAUAAAAGAGACUCAAACCCACACAAUUCUAG